rnacentral:misc_RNA from 1 species
ACCUCUGUUCCACCAGCAGGCGUCAGCUCUGCCAUCACCGGAGCUUCCUCCAUCGAAUUUUCAAUUGAUUCUCCGAUUCCCCAGUUUUCCCCUUCAAUUUCUUCGUCACCGUCCUUCGAUGCUUCAUCAACCAUCAGAACCUCUUUGAGUGGUUCUACUUCCUCAAUUUCCUCUGCAGCGAUCGGGCAAUCAUCCAUCACCAUAUCGUCAUUGUCUCCAUCAACAUCCCCAGCGGGUAUCACCAUGUCGUCCAUUGCCUUGCUCUCUCCGGAAUCCGGGGUUUCGCCUAGUGCGAUGGAGUCGACGACCUCCUGCAGCUGGAUGACUUGGCGGAUCACCUUCUUGCGAUACUCCCGGACGCCACGGACCGCGUCGAGCCGUAGCAGCAGCGCCAUGAGCAUCUCGCUGAUCCUCAGCCUCUCCUUGGCGU